GACGAACGCUGGCGGCGUGCUUAACACAUGCAGGUCGAACGGAAAGGCCCUGCUUUUGUGGGGUGCUCGAGUGGCGAACGGGUGAGUAACACGUGAGUAACCUGCCCUUGACUUUGGGAUAACUUCAGGAAACUGGGGCUAAUACCGGAUAGGAGCUCCUGCUGCAUGGUGGGGGUUGGAAAGUUUCGGCGGUUGGAGAUGGACUCGCGGCUUAUCAGCUUGUUGGUGGGGUAGUGGCUUACCAAGGCUUUGACGGGUAGCCGGCCUGAGAGGGUGACCGGCCACAUUGGGACUGCGAUACGGCCCAGACUCCUACGGGAGGCAGCAGUGGGGAAUAUUGCACAAUGGGCGGAAGCCUGAUGCAGCAACGCCGCGUGCGGGAUGACGGCCUUCGGGUUGUAAACCGCUUUCGCAUGUGACGAAGCGUGAGUGACGGUAAUGGGUAAAGAAGCACCGGCUAACUACGUG
rnacentral:rRNA from 1 species